rnacentral:rRNA from 1 species
AUUGAACGCUGGCGGCAUGCCUAACACAUGCAAGUCGAGCGAGCGGCGGACGGGUGAGUAAUGUAUGGGGACUGCCCUAUAGAGGGGGAUAACUACUGGAAACGGGAGCUAAUACCGCAUACUAUCGGAUAACCCAUAUGGGAUGAGCUAGUAGGUCAGGUAAUGGCUCACCUAGGCUACGAUCCCUAGCUGGCCUGAGAGGAUGAUCGGCCACACUGGGACUGAGACACGGCCCAGACUCCUACGGAGGCAGCAGUGGGGAAUAUUGGACAAUGGGCGAAAGCCUGAUGCAGCAAUGCCGCGUGUAUGAAGAAGGCCUUAGGGUUGUAAAGUACUUUCAGUCGGGAGGCGUUACCGAAAGAGGAAGCACCGGCUAACUACGUGCCAGCAGCCGCGGUAAUUC